CCUACGGGAGGCAGCAGUGAGGAAUAUUGGUCAAUGGCCGUAAGGCUGAACCAGCCAAGUCGCGUGAAGGAUGAAGGACCUAUGGUUUGUAAACUUCUUUUAUAGGGGAAUAAAGGUAUCCACGUGUGGAUAUUUGCAUGUACCCUAUGAAUAAGCAUCGGCUAACUCCGUGCCAGCAGCCGCGGUAAUACGGAGGAUUCGAGCGUUAUCCGGAUUUAUUGGGUUUAAAGGGUGCGUAGGUUGGUUUUUAAGUCAGCGGGGAAAGUUUGUGGCUCAACCAUAAAAGUGCCGUUGAAACUGGAAGACUUGAGUGUGGUUGAGGUAGGCGGAAUGCGUGGUGUAGCGGUGAAAUGCAUAGAUAUCACGCAGAACUCCGAUUGCGAAGGCAGCUUACUAAGCCAUAACUGACACUGAAGCACGAAAGCGUGGGUAUCAAACAGGAUUAGAUACCCCAGUAGUC
rnacentral:rRNA from 1 species